UACGAAGGGGGCUAACGUUGCUCGGAAUUAUUGGGCGUAAAGCGCACGUAGGCGGUUCGUUAAGUCGGAUGUGAAAGCCCUCGGCUCAACUGAGGAAGUGCACCCGAAACUGGCGAGCUUGAGUACGAAAGAGGAUCGCGGAAUUCCCGGUGUAGAGGUGAAAUUCGUAGAUAGUCGGGAGGAACACCGGUGGCGAAGGCGGCGAUCUGGGUCGAUACUGACGCGUGAGGUGGCGAAAGCGUGGGGAGCAAACAGG
rnacentral:rRNA from 1 species